rnacentral:lncRNA from 1 species
GCUUACUUAAAAUUUGUAUCUCAGUAAAAUGACGAAGUGUUACAUAAUGUGAAUCUUUGGAGCUGCUUGAGAGUAAUCGAUACCACAAAUUAUUGGAUUAGCAAAUUCCAAGAAUUCCAAGGAUGCUCCCAAAUACCCUUAUUUUGUGCUUGGAUGCUGGCUUUCAAAUGUCCUAUUCCACUGCCUCAAAGAAGAAAGGACUUUCUGUCCUUUGAAACUGGAAAAUACAGGUCAAGUAGAUUUGACGCGGCCCAGCCAUUUUUCAGUUGGCCAAUAAUUCUCGGCUCCCUUGUUGUAUCCAGAGAUGACUUACUCAGAACAGGAAACUAUUUUUUUUUUUUUUUUAAAGAUUUUAUUUUUUCCUUUUUCUCCCCAAAGCCCCCCGGUACAUAGUUGUAUAUUCUUCGAUGUGGGUCCUUCUAGUUGUGGCAUGUGGGACGCUGCCUCAGCGUGGUUUGAUGAGCAGUGUCAUGUCCGCGCCCAGGAUUCGAACCAACGAAACACUGGGCCGCCUGCAGCGGAGCGCGCGAACUUAACCGCUCGGCCACGGGGCCAGCCCCAGGAAACUAUUUUUAAUGAUGUAAUCUCAACUUCAGCAAGCAGGAGUGGUCUGGCUAUUGAUGUGUAUCUACUUAGAGAGAUUUUUGCCUCCUCGGUGGAGCAGGUGACUGUACACCAGCUUUGCGGUUUUGCUUCAUGCUCCCUUUGUGGGUUGUGGAUCAGAGAACACAGGCAUGCCACCUUGAUGAAGAACAGCGAUGCAAGGCACCAAGGACCCUGUAGAAAUUCCUCCACUGGCAAGUUGUUUAGGCUGAAACAGGAAGCAGUGUUUCAUGGAUGAUUGCUGUGUCCCCUUUUAUUCCAGAAGGUUAACUAAAGAGCAGUUGCCUCAGACCCGGAGAACAAGGCAAGUCAGUAUGGUAUUAUGUUGUUUAAAUUCUGUCAUGAUUUUUACACCACAGAUGUCCCUUAAAUUGCAAAACUUCUUUACAAUUUCAAAACUUUAAAGGGAAAUAGGGAGCAUCUCGGUGGAUUGCUGGCGAUACCGCUCUAUAUAGCUGUAGUGAACUCUGGGCAUAUGAAUUGGCCAGGGGUUCCAGAACUGCUUUUCAUUUUAAGUAAUUUAAACUCUUUAGAUAUUAAUUAAUGCAAUUCUCAUCCUCAGCAUUCCUAAAAUAACAAUAGCCCCAAAAUGAUAAAAAUAAAGGUGAUGGUUUAAAGUAUAGGCCUGAAAUU